rnacentral:rRNA from 1 species
UACGUAGGGUGCAAGCGUUUAAUCGGAAUUACUGGGCGUAAAGCGUGCGCAGGCGGUUGUGCAAGACCGAUGUGAAAUCCCCGGGCUUAACCUGGGAAUGGCAUUGGUGACUGCACGGCUAGAGUGUGUCAGAGGGGGGUAGAAUUCCACGUGUAGCAGUGAAAUGCGUAGAGAUGUGGAGGAAUACCGAUGGCGAAGGCAGCCCCCUGGGAUAACACUGACGCUCAUGCACGAAAGCGUGGGGAGCAAACAGG